GAAAGAAAGAUAAAUCUCACUCACUCGCUUACUUUGUUUCUUUGUUUAACCUCAUUCUCACUCUCACUCUGCUUUCACCACAACACUAGUUGCUGUUUCGGCUUUCUCUUUCGCGCGCAACACUUCGCGACUCUCUCUCGACUCUCUCCGCUGCGCUCCCAACUCACUCUCCUUUCACCGCAACACUCAUCCUCUCGCGACUCUCUCUCUCCCUCUUCCUCUGAUUUCCAUCAUCGGUUGCAAUGGUCUAUUUUCCAACCAAAACUCUUCCCAAAAAACAACCAAAACCAAAACCCUUGUUUCUCAAACACAAAAUUUUCAAAAAAAAGGUUUCAAUUUCUGCAACAAAGAUCGAACAAAAGGAAAAGGAAAAGGAAAACGAGGAAAAAAUUGUUCUUGAUACACCAACAACAACAACAUCAUCAUCACUGCCCAUUCCUUUUAUCGAUGAUCUUAAGAUAAAGAACACUCUCUCCACUUGGAGACAGAUGACCACAAAACAUCAAAGAGAAAAGGCUCGCCUCCAUAUCCACAAAAUUCGAAAAACCACUCAUUUCGAAGCAAACCACGAGGCGAUGCGGGAGUUUCACAAACUCAUUGGACUAAAAUUUUGAAGUUUCUAUAUUUGUUGGAUGCUGCUAAUUUGUUAGGUUUGCUUAUGUUUCAAUGUUUUCUUUCUUUUGCAGAUAACUCUGAUUCGCUAGAUUCUGUGCAUUUGAGUGUGUGUAGAUGCUGACAAACUAUCAGGUUUUAUUGUUGUUUUCCUUCUUUUAUAAGAAUCACGCAUGCGGUUGUUGUUGAUUGUUUUGAUUCUCCAGCAUUUCAUCUGAAAAUCAUGCAUCAGUGCCAUUCAAGUUUGAUUCCUCCGAGGUCCUUCACCAACAAAAAAGUCACUCAACUUUUGAAGGUUUUUCAAUUCACCGAUUUUCAAUGGCAUCGACUUCAAGCAAGUGCCUCUAAUAUCCAAAUGGAUUCAGGUAACCUUGUAAUCUCGGUGUCAGACACUUCUAGAGAGCGCAGAUGUUUUAGUUCUCCUAUUGAAUCAGGUUUACAUACGAGGAACAAUGUGAAAUAAUGUGAGACAAAUAUGUGGUUAAUGACUUACAACAUAUGUUUCAGACUAUAAUUUGUGUUUGAUAGGAUAAGAUUUUAGAAGGAUGAGUUGUGCUUAGAUCUUGAGAAGACUAUUCAGUUGUGGUUGUAGAAAUUUUUUAUACCUAAAGAUAUAUCAUUUUACUGUCAUAAAUAAUGAGUUUCAUGUUCAAUGCCUAUUUUUUCCUCCUAUUCUUAAAAUGAAAAAAAUUCUGAUUUCAUUUAUUGUUGAAAUGAGGAUUGUUCAAUCUUUUGUCGGUGAAAGGCAGUGACUUACAUAUGCAUUGGUCUUAUCCUUUGAAAGAGGAUAUCUUUUAUCAUCGGUCAUUGCUUUACCGAUCUUUAGUAGCUGAUGUAAAUGAUAGCCGAUCAUUCUUUUCAACUGAGUACUACACCCUAGUCCUUUCCAUUUCUGUUGAUAAUAGAUGUUAGUAUUCCCGCUGUAUUGUAUUGUAUUGCAGGAAAGUUUAAUUUCAUUAGUGCCGAGGGUGGUCGAUCUUGUUGUUGACCGUGAUAUACCUGUUAUUUCAGCCGAAGGAUUUGUAGAUGCCAGAGGUUAUGUUGCUGCUCUAGCACUCGGUGCUCAAGGCGUCUGUGUAGGCUCUAGGCAUUUAAAUAUUUAUUUUUAUGUUAUAUAUGAAAGUCAAGGAAAAAGCUUCAUAUUCUUGAAUGAAUUUCUUAGAAUACACAUUUUUAUGUUUUUUUUCCGCUUCAUCCAUGGAAGUCUAUCUGUAGGCUAAUAACUUGCACAAAUGAGUUCCUUAUA